UUAAGCGACUAAGCGUACACGGUGGAUGCCCUGGCAGUCAGAGGCGAUGAAGGACGUGCUAAUCUGCGAUAAGCGUCGGUAAGGUGAUAUGAACCGUUAUAACCGGCGAUUUCCGAAUGGGGAAACCCAGUGUGAUUCGUCACACUAUCAUUAACUGAAUCCAUAGGUUAAUGAGGCGAACCGGGGGAACUGAAACAUCUAAGUACCCCGAGGAAAAGAAAUCAACCGAGAUUCCCCCAGUAGCGGCGAGCGAACGGGGAGCAGCCCAGAGCCUGAAUCAGUGUGUGUGUUAGUGGAAGCGUCUGGAAAGGCGCGCGAUACAGGGUGACAGCCCCGUACACAAAAAUGCACAUAUUGUGAGCUCGAUGAGUAGGGCGGGACACGUGGUAUCCUGUCUGAAUAUGGGGGGACCAUCCUCCAAGGCUAAAUACUCCUGACUGACCGAUAGUGAACCAGUACCGUGAGGGAAAGGCGAAAAGAACCCCGGCGAGGGGAGUGAAAAAGAACCUGAAACCGUGUACGUACAAGCAGUGGGAGCACGCUUAGGCGUGUGACUGCGUACCUUUUGUAUAAUGGGUCAGCGACUUAUAUUCUGUAGCAAGGUUAACCGAAUAGGGGAGCCGAAGGGAAACCGAGUCUUAACUGGGCGUUAAGUUGCAGGGUAUAGACCCGAAACCCGGUGAUCUAGCCAUGGGCAGGUUGAAGGUUGGGUAACACUAACUGGAGGACCGAACCGACUAAUGUUGAAAAAUUAGCGGAUGACUUGUGGCUGGGGGUGAAAGGCCAAUCAAACCGGGAGAUAGCUGGUUCUCCCCGAAAGCUAUUUAGGUAGCGCCUCGUGAAUUCAUCUCCGGGGGUAGAGCACUGUUUCGGCAAGGGGGUCAUCCCGACUUACCAACCCGAUGCAAACUGCGAAUACCGGAGAAUGUUAUCACGGGAGACACACGGCGGGUGCUAACGUCCGUCGUGAAGAGGGAAACAACCCAGACCGCCAGCUAAGGUCCCAAAGUCAUGGUUAAGUGGGAAACGAUGUGGGAAGGCCCAGACAGCCAGGAUGUUGGCUUAGAAGCAGCCAUCAUUUAAAGAAAGCGUAAUAGCUCACUGGUCGAGUCGGCCUGCGCGGAAGAUGUAACGGGGCUAAACCAUGCACCGAAGCUGCGGCAGCGACGCUGAUGCGUUGUUGGGUAGGGGAGCGUUCUGUAAGCCUGCGAAGGUGUGCUGUGAGGCAUGCUGGAGGUAUCAGAAGUGCGAAUGCUGACAUAAGUAACGAUAAAGCGGGUGAAAAGCCCGCUCGCCGGAAGACCAAGGGUUCCUGUCCAACGUUAAUCGGGGCAGGGUGAGUCGACCCCUAAGGCGAGGCCGAAAGGCGUAGUCGAUGGGAAACAGGUUAAUAUUCCUGUACUUGGUGUUACUGCGAAGGGGGGACGGAGAAGGCUAUGUUGGCCGGGCGACGGUUGUCCCGGUUUAAGCGUGUAGGCUGGUUUUCCAGGCAAAUCCGGAAAAUCAAGGCUGAGGCGUGAUGACGAGGCACUACGGUGCUGAAGCAACAAAUGCCCUGCUUCCAGGAAAAGCCUCUAAGCAUCAGGUAACAUCAAAUCGUACCCCAAACCGACACAGGUGGUCAGGUAGAGAAUACCAAGGCGCUUGAGAGAACUCGGGUGAAGGAACUAGGCAAAAUGGUGCCGUAACUUCGGGAGAAGGCACGCUGAUAUGUAGGUGAAGUCCCUCGCGGAUGGAGCUGAAAUCAGUCGAAGAUACCAGCUGGCUGCAACUGUUUAUUAAAAACACAGCACUGUGCAAACACGAAAGUGGACGUAUACGGUGUGACGCCUGCCCGGUGCCGGAAGGUUAAUUGAUGGGGUUAGCCGCAAGGCGAAGCUCUUGAUCGAAGCCCCGGUAAACGGCGGCCGUAACUAUAACGGUCCUAAGGUAGCGAAAUUCCUUGUCGGGUAAGUUCCGACCUGCACGAAUGGCGUAAUGAUGGCCAGGCUGUCUCCACCCGAGACUCAGUGAAAUUGAACUCGCUGUGAAGAUGCAGUGUACCCGCGGCAAGACGGAAAGACCCCGUGAACCUUUACUAUAGCUUGACACUGAACAUUGAGCCUUGAUGUGUAGGAUAGGUGGGAGGCUUAGAAGUGUGGACGCCAGUCUGCAUGGAGCCGACCUUGAAAUACCACCCUUUAAUGUUUGAUGUUCUAACGUUGACCCGUAAUCCGGGUUGCGGACAGUGUCUGGUGGGUAGUUUGACUGGGGCGGUCUCCUCCUAAAGAGUAACGGAGGAGCACGAAGGUUGGCUAAUCCUGGUCGGACAUCAGGAGGUUAGUGCAAUGGCAUAAGCCAGCUUGACUGCGAGCGUGACGGCGCGAGCAGGUGCGAAAGCAGGUCAUAGUGAUCCGGUGGUUCUGAAUGGAAGGGCCAUCGCUCAACGGAUAAAAGGUACUCCGGGGAUAACAGGCUGAUACCGCCCAAGAGUUCAUAUCGACGGCGGUGUUUGGCACCUCGAUGUCGGCUCAUCACAUCCUGGGGCUGAAGUAGGUCCCAAGGGUAUGGCUGUUCGCCAUUUAAAGUGGUACGCGAGCUGGGUUUAGAACGUCGUGAGACAGUUCGGUCCCUAUCUGCCGUGGGCGCUGGAGAACUGAGGGGGGCUGCUCCUAGUACGAGAGGACCGGAGUGGACGCAUCACUGGUGUUCGGGUUGUCAUGCCAAUGGCACUGCCCGGUAGCUAAAUGCGGAAGAGAUAAGUGCUGAAAGCAUCUAAGCACGAAACUUGCCCCGAGAUGAGUUCUCCCUGACUCCUUGAGAGUCCUGAAGGAACGUUGAAGACGACGACGUUGAUAGGCCGGGUGUGUAAGCGCAGCGAUGCGUUGAGCUAACCGGUACUAAUGAACCGUGAGGCUUAACCUU
rnacentral:rRNA from 1 species